GGCGCGGCUCCGGGCGAGAGCCGGCAGCGGAGCGAGCUCCUCGCUCUUCGCCUCCUCCCAGGACCGCCGAGCACACCCAGUCGGGUCUUCCAGGCUCCGCGCCCAGCAGUGCAUCCGGCCACCCUGCGGUGCGACAGCGCUACUUUCCUGCAGUCUCGGGCGGGACGGGGGACAACUUGGAAAACUUCUCUGGGGCAGACGGCAGGGACGCUGGGCGCUGGUGGAAGAGGAUGUAGGAGGGCGGUGGCUGGCCCCGGGUGUCCCCGGACCUCCUAGGCACCGUUCGUCCGGGCCAUGGGGCUCCAGCGCCUUCAGCGUCGCCGGGGCAACCAUCCCUUCGCCUAACCGAGCCGGGGUGGUGCUCUCUCCCGCCGUGCGUCCGCCUGGAGAGCAGCGGUGCCACUGGCCAUGUCCGGCCCCACCAUGGACCACCAGGAGCCCUACUCGGUGCAGGCUACAGCUGCCAUCGCGGCAGCCAUCACCUUCCUCAUCCUCUUCACCAUUUUCGGCAACGCGCUGGUCAUCCUGGCCGUGUUGACCAGCCGCUCGCUGCGCGCACCGCAAAACCUGUUCUUGGUGUCCCUGGCUGCUGCUGACAUCCUCGUGGCCACGCUCAUCAUCCCUUUCUCGCUGGCCAACGAGCUGCUGGGCUACUGGUACUUUCGGCGCACAUGGUGCGAGGUGUACCUGGCGCUCGACGUGCUCUUCUGUACYUCGUCCAUCGUGCACCUGUGCGCCAUCAGCCUGGACCGCUACUGGGCGGUGAGCCGCGCGCUGGAGUACAACUCGAAGCGCACACCGCGCCGCAUCAAGUGCAUUAUCCUUACCGUGUGGCUCAUCGCAGCCGUCAUCUCGCUGCCGCCCCUCAUCUACAAGGGCGACCAGGGCCCCCAGCCCCACGGGCGCCCCCAGUGCAAGCUCAACCAAGAGGCCUGGUACAUCUUAGCCUCCAGCAUCGGCUCUUUCUUUGCGCCCUGCCUCAUCAUGAUCCUUGUCUACCUACGCAUCUACCUGAUUGCCAAACGCAGCCACCGCAGAGGGCCGGGGGCCAAAGGCGGGCCAGGCCCUGGUGAGGCGAAGCCGUCSGGUCCUGUCCCUGGGGGCACUUCAGCCUCGGCCAAGGUGCCAACCCUGGCCUCUCCUCUGUCUUCUACUGGAGAGGCCAAUGGACACCCCAAGCCCACUGGGGAGAAAGAGGAAGGAGAGGCCCCUGAAGAGCCUGGGAGCAGGGCCUUGCCCCCCAGCUGGACUGCCCUCCCCAAGGCAGACCAGAGCCAGAAGAGGGACCUUUGUGGGGCAUCUCCAGAGGAGGACGCUGAAGAGGAGGAAGAGUGUGACCCUCAGUCAGUGCCAGCAUCUUCUGCCUCCGUUUGCAGUCCCCCCUUGCAGAAGCCACAGGGUUCCCGGGUGCUGGCCACCCUACGUGGACAGGUGCUCCUGGGCAGGGGUGCGGGUGCUGUGGGUGGGCAGUGGUGGCGUCGGCGGGCGCAGCUGACCCGGGAGAAGCGGUUCACGUUUGUGCUGGCCGUGGUCAUCGGGGUCUUCGUGCUCUGCUGGUUCCCCUUCUUCUUCAGCUACAGCCUGGGUGCCAUCUGCCCACAGCACUGCAAGGUGCCCCRCGGCCUCUUCCAGUUCUUCUUCUGGAUUGGCUACUGUAACAGCUCCCUGAACCCUGUCAUCUACACCRUCUUCAACCAGGACUUUCGUCGUGCCUUCCGAAGGAUCCUUUGCCGCCAGUGGACCCAGACGGCCUGGUGAGCUGCCUGCCACUGCCCGUGUGGGGUGGGUGCCAGCGCCACCCUGUCUUUUGCCCUCCUUUAUGUGGCUGUCUCCCUGGGGCCCUCUGGUCCCUGCGCAGUUCCUACAGGUUGCAUCCUAGGAGUCCCCUUGGAGGGGAGGGGGAGGGGCAGAGGUGCGGUUGAGAGGGUCCAUCUGAGGCACCCCCUGGCUGGCUUUGCUGGGGGGACCUCUUCUCCAUCCCCUGCCCGGGCACAGGCACAGGGUGAAGCCCGGACCUUCCUGAAUGUGGCAGAGACCAGGUCAGAGUAGAGCACCUCUGUGCCAGGCCCCUGCGGGCUGAUGGAUGGGCUUCCCUUUGCUGAGGACCCUGGGUGCCUUGGCAGGUCAUUCACUUGGGGUGUUUUUGUUUCUUUCGCACCCCCUGAUCCCCYGAUCCCUCCAAAGAGCAGGAAGUCCACCUUCCACUUCCCCCAGGAGGGCCUGAUGCUGARGCUGAUGAAGAAGUGAAGUCUGUUCACCCACAUGGGCACCAUGGUCCUCCCUGGUGCUGGGAUGGGGUUAUGGGAUGCCAUUCUCUGGGCCCAUCUCUCCCCCUUGCCUCUGCUUUUGGAUCUGUGGCUCCUUUAAAGGCCAGGCCCGUGCAUUGGCUUCCCCACCCGACCCUCCUUUGGGAGGCAGGGUGACAAUAACUCGMCGCCCACUUGCUGCCGGAGAUGAAAGGCUUUGCAGAAAGCUCUGUGCUCCGCGGGGGACAUGCUAGAGAACCGUCAAAUGUGAUUAUCCGGUGAUGUAAAAGCCCCUUUCCUCUGUGCUUACCGCCACCCGAGUUCCUGUAGACUUUUGUUCUGUCCCUGGGGUGUGUGAAUUCCUACCCCAAACUGGAAGCAGAGAGCAGCUCACAGUACUGCUAUCUGAAGUCACAGGAUUUCUUUGAGAACGUGUUCUUGGGCCCACAAAGGUUUGAGUUAUUAUGCCGGUGACAGCUUCUUCAUGUGUCACCUGCAACACCAAGAGGAUUUGCAUGGCUUGGCUCCCACCCCAGGAGGGAAUAAGUCUUUUGUCAUCAAACAGGCAGAUUUCCCCCCAAAGAUGGCUAAAAAUACCYGCACCAUGGAAGCAGUCUGAGCUGAGAGCCCAGGGAGGAAGGCAGAGCCCCCAGUGGGUGCAGAGGCCGGAGCAGGCAGCGAGGCCCUGAGGACCGCUGGGGGAGCCCCAAGCUGCCGUGCGUAGGUGGACAGGUUUCUGACCUCCAGCUGGGUUCCUGUGGCGCGUAACGCACCCCACGCCUUAUUGAUGGAGAACCCCACGCCUUACUGAUGGAGAACCGGGCAGCCACGCUGCCCUGGGCUGAGGGCCUGUCCCUCUUGGUCCUCUCCUCCACCCGAGAUCCCGGUGCCCAGAACAGUCUCUAAAGCGCAGUGCCCCGUCUUCCCCAAGGGCUGCUUGGCGUGUGGCCUGCCAGCGUGGGGGUUGGGGUGGGCUGAGUGGCACAGGUUGUUGGCACUCUGACGAACCUGCCAGAUCCGGAAGGUGCCGCAGAGGUUUUCGGGGGAGAAUGGCGGGGACCAAAAUGAUCCGAGCUUGGUCUUUGGCCAGUUGUGGCUGUGAGGCCAGGACAUGGGCUUGGGGUGUGGCUGGUGGGCUGGGCCCAGGGGAGGGAUUGACACGUGACCAUCUGCUGCCCAUCUUUUGUGUGCUGCAUGGGACCCCUGGUCAUGUGGCCYGUGGCC